AUGUAUUCUGUACGUUUAAGAUAAGCUGGCAAUAAAAAAGUAGUAAAAACAUCCAUGAAAGUGGGCUUUUUUGUUGUACUUAUUUUACGAAUAGAGGCAUAGAUACAGGUAAAGUGUAGCCAUUUGAGACUAUAUUUUUUCCUAUGUCUUUUUAACGUUGGUAUGCAGACUAAAGCUCGCAUUGCGGAUUUUAGCCUGCAUUUUUUAU
rnacentral:ncRNA from 1 species